ensembl:lncRNA
GGUAGGAUGUUUCUUAAUUAGCUUUUCCGGGCUGAUCCAUCACCGUGACAUUCAGCAGAGCCUCGCAGAGGAGACGAUGCGGACACAUGACUGAGAAGGUCAGGUGUCCCGCCACUCUGCCGUCCACCAAUCACAUGCUCAAAUUGAAAUGUUCCUUUGACGUCUUGAUGAACGACCCCAAGCUGAGCUGAGCACACUCCCACAGGCGCCAUGGGGCGGCCAUCUUCAAGGUUGUCCUGACGACCGCGUCGCCGUGGACCAGAGACCUUUGAGUCAACCCAUCCUUCACAAUCUGGCUCAUCCUGUCAUCGCCCGAAGCAAACAGAGCCACGAGAAAAGACGAGACAAAUCCUCCUCACAGAGCUGGAAUUGUCUUCGAAGGAGUGGGGGAGUCCUCUUGUCCAUCUCGGUCGGUGUUUUCGGACGGUCGACGCGCGUUCAGCCCGGUAUCAACUCGAUCAGGGGAGUGGACCGGGAGUCAGGACCGCCCCCAUGGCCUCUGGGCCUCGUUGCGGAGGCAGACGUCGUCCUGUUGCUUCCUUUAAUGAGAUCUGGAGGCGUGCAAUCUAAUAUUCACCACAGAGGCCCCGGUCGGGCCCCUGAGCCCGGGGGGCCAAUUCGAUGAGAGCGGAGUCAGCUCUGAUCAGGGUGACUGGCGAGGCCCCAGCCUGAGUGACGCUGGGGGGGGGGGGCUGCUGGUUCCGUUGGUUUUCACAUUCACCCACGAAUCGGACGGUUUGCAGUGACGUUUGCAUUGUUGAUAGUUAGGGUGGGGUUUAUUUUGUUUGUAGCGCUCUGCUUUUAUUUUGACGUGGCUGUUGGAGCCUUCUUUCGUUAGACAGUUUAUAAACUUUUUGGUUUUGAAAAAUCUAUAUAAUUUUUGUUUCUGUGACUAGGCCCAGUUCUCUGUUUUUAUUUGAAGGAUCGAGAAAUUAGGGGAUAGUAGGGUUUAGUUGAGCACCAUAAGAGCCCACUUUGUUUUUAAUCUGCAACUUUCAUAUCGUUAGCCUCAGAGCAUAAUUGCCUAAAUCAUAUUUUAAAGUUCAGAUUGUAUUGAAUAAGUCUUAGUCUUAGUCAAAUAGAUGACUUAGGCAGAUAAUGAUUAUGGACAGUCAAAAGCAAUCUGAUUGGCUUAGGAUAGCCAAUGAAGCACAGUGAAUCAGCUGCAAUAGAAUAGAGUAGAGUUCGGUUAGUUAUCACAAUUUGGCCAAAAUGUGACUUUGCAUUGAGGCUAACAAUAUAUAGGGCCAGACAGAGGUUGUUUCCAUCUAUAUCGCUGCGCUUUUAUCUUGAAAUACCAUCCACUGCGAAGCGCAAACCAAAACUGGCCCCGCAGCACCUAUCUUUAUGGCCGAUAAACAUCCUGCUAGCGACGCAGACGCCCUCAGCGUGCCCUUGUGUAAGCAGGACGCUCGUUCCGGAGGCUUCGCGGCCGUUCGGCACUUGUGCUCUUAACCUUUCUUCAGAGAUCACUCAUUAGCUUUGACUCAAAAGAGAAGGGAGGCCUGUCCUCCGGUGAUGAAUGGAGCUCCUCGCCACCAUCCCAACUGUCAGCAGUGAUUGAUGCACUGAGAACAUCCCUGGCCCACAUUGCGGCGUGUUCAUCCCCCGUGAACGCUCUGCGUUGGGGGAUCAGGAGGAGGAUGGUGGUGGUGGUGGUGG